CGGCUCUCCCAUUGGCGGGGAGGAGCGGGAGGCGAGGGGCGGUGCGGCCGGGCCGCCCCUGGCGGGUCCCGCGGCUCCGGGAGCGCCGGGGGGUCCCCGGGCGGCCGGGAACGGGCUCGGAAGAGCCUUCGGACACAGAGAAAGGGGGUUUUGUGGUGCUGGAUCCCAGCGGAAAGAAGCGGCGCGGCGCCUGGGAAGCUAAUCUUAGAGUGGGCCGGGAAAUAGGCGCAGGCAGACAUCGCUAAUCGCCGAGGACGCGCUGCGAUAAGGGCCCGUUAUCGCGCUGCGGUGGCGGUGUCCGAUCGCUGUCAGCUCAGAGCAAGGCCAGGGCCAUCCAGGAGGGCAGGACCCAGUCUUGAGAACCGCUUUGGCGAGGGCUAGGGACACCUGUCACAACCGAAAGUGUUCAAUCAGUGGAAUAUCCUCCGGAUGUUAAAUGCCAGGCUAGCGAGAAGCCGCGCGCUUGGUUCAGGAAGUGUGCAGAUACAUCGUACAGCUUGUACACAGCAGCCUGAUGAGAGCUUUAUAAAUCACCUUAGAUCUUCCGAGUCCUUCGGAGAGCUGUGUGGCUGCUAUAACCCUCGAGUGCUGCUUACCACGGGACAAAUGAAGCCUUGGGGGUCUGGGAACAACCUCUCAGAAGCAGUAAAACCUUCUCUGCUAUCAACAACCCUCAUUCCCAAGUUAUCCAUAUGUAGGGAAGAUUCCAAUGAGUAGAAUUUGAUGGAUUUUGGGAUCCAUAAACGCCUACUGUGGAAUAUAGGAGGAAUCUAGCCUGCUCCAACCACGACCACCGAGGAAACACACUCCACUUAACUAAAAACAGGCCAUAAAGAUAUACAUAAACUUGUCUGUGAAUGCAGCCACCCAAAGUGAUGGUUCAGGUGUCAAAUGAUUGCACAGAAUGGUUAUGGCACAUCUGACAAGAAGGCCUACUGGACAUAGAUCUACCUAAUCAAAACCAUCCCACAAUUAGACAUGUGUUAGUGUAAUUACUAAUGAUUAGCAAAUCACGUCUGAACAUUUUUUUGCAAGAACUGUUGCUGUAAGCCUGACAGAUUAACCUCAUUUCACCUGCCUGGUGCUGAACCCUGUAAACCCAGUGGAUGUCUGUACAUACAUGGCAGUAUACUCUUGUCCCUGCUCUGCACCUGCAGGCUCCAGCCACUAUGCAGUGUCUUCUCUUUGAUUACUUGUCAAAAUACUCCAUCCUGGCAUCUCUCUUCCCUUCCUUCCCUUUCUCACCAAGGCAUUCAACUCACAGAGCUCUCUUUCUUGUCUGGAAAAAUAAAUAGGAGAAUGAAUCCA
rnacentral:lncRNA from 1 species